AAGCUCCAUCCCUUCCUGUAGCACAGGUGAAUUGCCUUCAGCUGUGCUCCCAGGGCUGACUCAUUGCUCGCCUCAGGUGAUCAAUCAGAGGUUCCUUCUGCUUGAGCAUUGGAGCAGCUGAAUCCUGUUAGAUGGGGAUUUAGGAACAUGCUGCGUUUUGGCUGAGGUGCUGCACAGUGCUGCUCUGGGGCAUCCUUCCCUUUGAGGCACUCUGAGGAGCUCUGAGAAAUAAGUCACGCUCACAUUUCUUACUUCAUUCCUUCUGAGGAAGGGAGUAAUCUUUCUUUCCUAACAGAAGCUUUACCCUAAACCUGAAUUAAAAUUUCCAGCCCUGAGUCCUGUUGGCAGCUUUUCAGCAGCAAAGCUGUGCAGGCCAUUGUAAAAAGGGGAGAGGGAAGAAAAUCCCUCAGAACAAUCUUCAAAAUCCACCAUCAAUACAAAGGUUAUGCAACUCAAAGGCUGUUCAGCGGGGGUUGGCAGUUACUCAAAUGUCUAAGCUGACUAUUGAAAAGCUUGUUGUGCCAAAGACUGCAGGAAGAUGCUACCUUUUCCCAGCAUCCUGGGAAUAGCAAAGAUUAACUCUAUCAGCAGCAGAGUUCCUCGAAGACCUAUGGGACAAAGAAUGGCUUUGCUAACUGAGCCUACUAUAUACUCCCAGAAAAAAUUGUGCUGGGACAGAAGACAGCAGAAGACACCUGGAAAGGGAUUUGGGGAACAAAAACAUCUACUUUGUGAUAGAGGCCCACUGGCUUAA
rnacentral:lncRNA from 1 species